GAAAGUGGAAUUCCAUGUGUAGCGUGAAAUGCGUAGAGAUAUGGAGAACCCCAGUGGCGAAGGCGACUUUCUGGUCUGUAACUGACACUGAGGCGCGAAAGCGUGGGGAGCAAACAGGAUUAGAUACCCUGGUAGUCCACGCCGUAAACGAUGAGUGCUAAGUGUUAGAGGGUUUCCGCCCUUUAGUGCUGAAGUUAACGCAUUAAGCACUCCGCCUGGGGAGUACGGCCGCAAGGCUGAAACUCAAAGGAAUUGACGGGGGCCCGCAC
rnacentral:rRNA from 1 species